rnacentral:rRNA from 1 species
GCGCGCGCGCGCGCGCGCUCGCCCGGCUCUCGUCGGACCGGCCGGCGCGAAUCGAUAUUCGGCACGACAGCCGGCGCUGGGCGGCCGCUCGUUCGCGCUGCGAGGCGCGGGCGGGGACGGGCGGCCCGGCGCGCGGGCGUCGUUGGAGGAAUAGCUACCUGGUUGAUCCUGCCAGUAGUCAUAUGCUUGUCUCAAAGAUUAAGCCAUGCAUGUGUAAGUAUG